AGCUGCGUAGCGUAGCGGAAGCGCGCCGGGCUCAUAACCCAGAGGUCACUCGAUCAAAACGAGUCGCAGCUA
rnacentral:tRNA from 1 species